rnacentral:misc_RNA from 1 species
AUGCGAUGUAUGCUAUAAGUGGAACUUGGAUCGUUUAGGAUAAAUUAAAAAAAGGGGCGAGUUCAGUGAAAAAUAAUGUUGCCAAUUCCAUUCGAAACUUUUAGCGUUACCGAGGAGAAUGUUAAAUGGAUCCCGGAAGAAUUGAAGCGGUAAAUGAAAUUUUUAUAAGCUUUAAAUUGGACAUUAACGACGCGUUUACCGAUAACUCGAGCAAAUCAAGUUACUCGACCGCAUUUCCGAUUUGAGUUUAAUGGCCCUACAAAUCUGACGAUGUAUUAUCCAUCUGCAUGAAACGAUCUCCAUUCGAGACCAGAGACAAUAGAUCGUUGAAAAUUCAUAAU